UUUUGCAAGGGACCGUGAUACAGACAGCGUAUGACAGACAGCUGUUUACUCUCUCAAGAAGCAGGAGGCAUAGGCCUCUUUAAGUGAUUCCAGCCAUUGAAAGUGACUUUUCUCUUUUCUUUUUCUCUUUUUUUUCUUUUUCUCCUCCCCUGCCCCCCCAGGAUAUAUUGUGUAGCAGGAUGGAAGAACUCUAAUUGAAGACGAGACAGAGACAAGUUCUUUCAGCAUGGAGACUGUUUUGGUUGAUGGGGAACUUGAUAGAAAUUCACAUCAUGGUGAUAUCAGAGACUCUCAUGGACCAUCAACAGUGAUAACAAACAGUGAUGAAUCACACCUUUUAACCCCAGGAAAGAUGAGCCAACGCCAAGGGAAAGAAGCCUAUUUUACUCCAACCAAAGAGCAACUCCAGCCAUCUCUCAGCCCAGGAACCACCCACAGCCAUGGUUUUGACAAAGGGAAGGACGAUGUGUCACAAAGUAAAGAGGAUACAGCACAUUCUAUAUCAAAAAGCAAGUCUGAAUCCAAACUUUUCAAUGGCUCGGAGAAGGACAUCUCUUUGUCUUCAAGCAAGCUUACAAAAAAGGAAUCUCUCAAGGUUCAAAAGAAAAAUUACAGAGAAGAGAAGAAGAGAGCUACCAAAGAAUUACUUAGCACUAUCACAGACCCAUCAGUUAUUGUUAUGGCUGACUGGCUGAAGAUUCGUGGCACCUUGAAAAGCUGGACCAAGCUGUGGUGUGUACUGAAACCAGGAGUCUUGCUUAUUUACAAAACUCCCAAAAACGGCCAGUGGGUGGGAACAGUGCUCCUGAAUGCUUGUGAACUCAUUGAGAGGCCUUCUAAAAAAGAUGGCUUUUGUUUCAAACUUUUUCAUCCUUUGGAGCAGUCCAUAUGGGCUGUAAAGGGUCCAAAAGGUGAAGCAGUUGGUUCUAUAACUCAGCCGUUACCCAGCAGUUAUUUGAUCAUCCGAGCUGCUUCAGAAUCAGAUGGCAGGUGUUGGAUGGAUGCUUUGGAGUUGGCUUUGAAAUGUUCAAGUCUGCUUAAACGUACAAUGAUUAGGGAAGGUAAAGAACAUGAUUUGAACUCUUCAGACAGCACGCAUGUGUCUCUCUAUGGUCUGCUUCGUGGUAACAACUUACACAGUGGAGAAAACUUCCCGUUAAACGACAGUGAAAUUGAAAGGCAUCAGUUUAAAGAUCCAGACAUGUACUCUGACAAAUCUGAUAAGGAAAAUGAACAUGAUCAUGAUGAAUCUGAUAAUGAUGGAUUGGGGAAAAGCGAAGAAAGCGACAGUGACACCUCAGAGCGACAAGACGAUUCUUAUGUUGAUCCGGAACCAAUCGAUAUUAAGGAAACUACUUAUUUAGAGCAGAGUCAUGAAGAACUUGGGGAGGCUGGAGAAGCUGCUCAGACAGAAGUAGUGUCAGAAGAAAACAAAAGUCUGAUCUGGACGCUGCUGAAGCAAGUCCGUCCAGGAAUGGACUUGUCCAAGGUUGUGUUGCCUACGUUUAUCUUGGAACCUCGUUCCUUCCUGGACAAGCUGUCUGAUUACUACUACCAUGCAGACUUUUUGUCUGAAGCUGCUCUUGAAGAGAAUGCUUACAACCGUAUGAAGAAAGUAGUGAAAUGGUAUUUGUCAGGAUUCUAUAAAAAGCCAAAGGGACUUAAAAAACCGUACAAUCCUAUACUUGGUGAGACUUUUCGCUGCAUGUGGAUUCAUCCAAGGACGAAUAGCAGGACUUUUUACAUUGCAGAACAGGUAUCCCAUCAUCCUCCAAUAUCCGCCUUCUACGUUAGCAACCGCAAGGAUGGGUUUUGCCUUAGUGGUAGCAUUCUGGCCAAAUCCAAAUUCUAUGGGAACUCGUUAUCUGCCAUACUAGAUGGAGAAGGACGGCUAACAUUCCUAAAUAGGGGAGAAGAUUAUGUAAUGACUAUGCCAUAUGCUCAUUGUAAAGGAAUUCUUUAUGGCACAAUGACUUUAGAGCUUGGGGGAACGGUCAACAUCACCUGUGAAAAAACUGGCUACAGUGCAACCAUUGAAUUCAAGCUCAAGCCAUUUUUGGGUAACAAUGACAGUGUUAAUCAAAUAUCAGGGAAAAUUAAGCUUGGCAAAGAAGUUCUGGCUAUUUUGGAGGGUCACUGGGACAGUGAAGUUACCAUUAGUGACAAAAAGACAGAUGCUUCCGAGAUCUUCUGGAACCCAACGUCUGAUAUGAGGCAGCGUAGAUUACUUAGAUACACAGUGAAGUUUGAAGAGCAAGGUGACUUUGAGUCAGAGAAGCUUUGGCAGCAAGUGACUCGAGCAAUAAAUAACAAAGACCAAACAGAAGCUACUCAAGAGAAAUAUGUUCUGGAAGAAGCCCAGAGAAAGGGUGCCAAAGAGAGGAAGCUUAAGGGUGAAGAGUGGACAUGCAAACUGUUUGAUCAGGAUUCAGUCACAGGAGAAUGGCACUACAAAUUUGCAGAUACCAGACCAUGGGACCCUUUGAAUGAUAUGAUCCAAUUUGAAAAAGAUGGCACCAUCCAAACCAAAGUUCGACAUCGGACACCAAUGGUUAGUGUUCCAAAAAUCAAACGAAAACCAACUGGUCAGCAGAAGAAAGGGGAGUGUGGUUUUUCAUCCCCUGAGCCUGAUAAUCAGGAUUCCUCUGGAAGUGAAGCACAACUUCUGAAGCAUAAUACAAGAGUAAGGAAAAAAGGGGCAGACCUUGCUGAACUGCAGAGUGCAAUUGAAUCUAUAAAGGAAACGCAAGAAGACAUUAAGAGGGACAUUAUGGCUCUACGAAAUCGAGUCACUUCUAAUUCACCACCUGUGGACAGCCAUUUUUUGCAGCUUAAGCACUGUGUCUUCAUUUUACUCCUGAUUCUGCUACAGUUUGUCAUUAAUUUCUUGUUCAAAUAGGAAGCGUGAACAAGGGCCUUUCUGAACUGGAAUGAUCAAACUCUUACUGGGGACCAUAUUUUAAGUUGGACUUUAAGUGAUGCAAUACUAUCUCAAAGAGCCCCGUAGCAACAACUUACAGAACUUUGCGUCUGAGUGCAUGGUUCAGAGUCAUACUCGCAUCUACCCAGUUGAAGUAAGAAUUGUGCAAGUGCCAGUACACUCUUGUUCCUGGUGUGUGCCUCUUUCUCUGUCUCACAGACGUGCAACAUCAGCCUUGUGUUUUAUUGUAUGUCAUACACUGAACUGAUAAACUUUCACUCUGGAAUAGCUUAAAUUCAAAAUUCAGAGGUCAGUCCAUGUUAGUAGGACCUUUCCUAUUUUGGUAGAAUAAUAAAAAAGCGGAGUUUGUUACAUUUAAACUCACCAUUUUUUGGAACAAAGUAACUUUUGAAGCAACACCCUUACUUACAUUCUUUGUAAAUGACAUGGGGUGUUUGGAGGUAAACUGUUUAAGGUCAAACAAAUACAUUAUUAUGCAAAGCUCAUGAGUUUUAGAAACUGGCAAGUAAAGAGCUGAAGUCUUUGAGACCUUUGCAACUUAACGUCCUUGAUUUGUUUGUGGAAGUAUGACAGUUUUUAUUCUGAAUUAUGAUAAGGGCUUAUAAGCCAGUGGUUUUAUUUUUACAGUUUUAAAACUUAAGUUUCUUUAUAAAAGCAUUCCUUCAUCUAGUAUGGAGAACACGUUUUUAACAUUGCAGCAGCCAGGAAGGUACUGUCUUGGUCCACGCAUGCUUGUGAGUUGCAAAUGUCAAGGAUUUACGAUAUGUUUGUAAAUUUUGAUAAAUUGGCAGCUUUGAAUUUACUUUUGUAUAUGGCCGCUUCACAGUCAGAAGACAGACUACUGAUAUCAGGGACUCUUUCUUAUAUCUGAAACAAAAUGUUAACAUGCAAAGUUAUGUUUAGUGUGUAGCUUGUGCUGAAUCUCCCAAAGGACUAUGCAGAGACUAUGCAGAACAGAAUUUAGCCAAACAGUCAACAGUUCACUUGCAAAUGAAAAUAUGCUUCUAAGGGGAAAGGCUUCAGAAAUAUUGGGAUGGCCAACACAUGUACCAAAACAAAUGGUCCCUUAAGACCUUAAGAAACCUUAAGUCUCUUUUAAAUUCCUCUUUACUGCAAUAUAUAUACUAUGUAAGUUACUACCAUGAUGCACCUAUUCAUUAUUCUAAAGAUUAAUUAUAAAGCUUAAAUAUCAAUGUAAAACCAGGGUUUUGAAUAUGUUUUUAUUUGAAGAAAUAUAUGCAUGUAUACAACUUGCAAAACUUCAGGAAAAUAAUUUAGUGCUAGUAUUUGUCUGGCGAGUUCCUUACGCCAGUCAAGCCUUUCCGUCUUUGCAUCAAGUUAAAAAGGGGCUGGAGUAAUGUAAAGGUACCUUCAGUAGCCCAGAUGAGACAGUGGGAUUAUGAGAGGCACGAUAGAAAGGGCAGCCAAGUUUGUUUUCAGAUGAUCUUCUCAGAAAUCAAAUGCAUGCUGGGCAAUGGAACAGUUCAGGUGUCACUUUUGGCUUUUUGCCAUGGGUUGGUUAUUCCUCUGUGACACCUGAGCUUAUGCUUGGGCAACUUCCCUCUCUCUCAGACUAAGCUAACAUGAGGAGACUGCAAAGUUAGCUUGAGGGUAGCCACUGUCACCCUUGUAAGUCCAGUUCUAUGUCGGUCUCACCCAGUAUUUAGUGAAAAUACUAUUUACUUACUGUCAGCCUCGCUCAUAUGCUUCUGUGGCUGACAUCUUCACUGUACCUCCCCUUCCACUUUUUCUUUGGGCCCCAGCUGCAUAAGAGUUUAUUGCUGGAGUAGCCAACUGUAGCUUAUUCUGCUUACUUCUUACAGCUUUAUAUUAGCAUAGUUUGGUCUUGAUUCAUUUUCUGGAACAUGGUAGCUUAACCAAACAGAGUGGUCUUGUAUAAGUGGCCAUGACCAGACUUGGUCUUCUACCAUGUCUAUAGCUGAUGAGGCAAAAGUUGUGAAUAUAGAAGGGCCCUCAUUGUAUUUAAAAAAAAAAAAA